rnacentral:lncRNA from 1 species
GCUUCAGGCAGGGAAUUGUUUUCCCUGUAUAAGAAGGUGCAGGGUGUCAGAAAUGUGAGGAUUCUGCAGUUUUAGUUUCAGCGGUCGCCAGGGAGAUCCCGUGAAAGACAGAACUGCAGCAGCCUGAGGUUCUCUAUCCUCUUACAAAUGGUUUCCUGAGAAGCACUACAAUGCUGGCUUCUCACUGUAGCAAUCAAGAGCUGAAGGCAGCAGUUGUUGCUGUUGGUGGCUGAAGCCAUGCAGCAUAUGCCAGCAAUGGAACAUGGUCUUUACCCAGAUGCCUGGGUGAAGGUAAGGUGAAGCUGCAGGAGCCACAGAAAUCAAGCAUUCUUCUGGUGAAGCUUUCUAAGAUCAGAAGUGCCAAUGAAAUCAAGGAUGACAAAUGAACGAUGUGUUAAAACAGGUGUGGCAGUGGAGAAAGGAGCCCUUGUGGUCACUGCUGCCCACAGACUGGCACUGGGUGCGUGCAUACUGACAGUCACAGACUCCACUGUAGUUUGAGCAUCCGAAGAGCAUAAAGCCUGGGUGGCUAUGAAUGACUUCCAUGUGUCAUUUGAAUGAAGGUAUUUUGAAGACUGGCUAUUGACACCUGAAACAAUUACUAUUCUGCUCGUGGAUUUGACACCUCAGACUAGUUAAUCACCAGAGGGGCUUCACAUGCCAUCAGAAGGUGAGAGCUUUCACUAUAGAAAUACCAAAGUCCUGACAGCAGCUCGUGGCAGAGGGCAGGAAUGGUGUCCAUUUGCACUUAGAAUAUUUGCAUGCAGUGGUGUUUGUAAUGUAUCCUGAGGGCAAUGUGGACCUUCAAAUCCAAACUCAUCUCCUGCAGCCAAGGCCACUUCUUGCCCUUGGGAAAAGCAGUCACAGUGGCAAGGAUGCCUAGACGUGUAAAUGGGGAGUUCCUGCAUUGUGCUGGAGGCAAGCUGUAGAGCAGUGAGCUGCUGUGGCAUAAAACACCAGAAUGUUGGCUCUUGGCUCCAUGAAGUGGCCAACAUCAGCAUGAGUAACUGGGUGGCUAAUUAGAGGUAACUGUCUACUUGGAAGAACUUUCUUCAUGUCUCAUUUUGAACUCCCUGAGUGUGGUGGUCUAGGAAGUAAUUAACAUGCUUUUAGCCUCAGGGUUACUUGUGGCUGGAUUCAUAAACAUAGAUACUGUUGUACAUUACUAAUUUUUGAUUUACAAAGUACCAACAGUUUGAUUUAAGAAAUUGCCGGAGUUAAUCUUGAUUUUAUGCACUGUAAAUGUUUCAUAUACUAUAAACUUUCCUGUAAACAUAAAUUGUCAG